rnacentral:rRNA from 1 species
AUGCCCCGUGACUGGGAAAAGAUUCAUCUCGCCGUGUGCCAGCCCUUGUUGGGCGCUCGGAGCACGCGUCUCCUCCCACCGCCUCCACAGGAUUCGGACACCAUGGGCGUUUGGCAUGAUAUGACCGGCUAUGCCCUUAUUACGGCGGCAGACCACCGCGCCGCCGGUGAUCGGGACCACCGCAGGCAGCCACUGUUCCAAGUGCUUUUCAUCACUAUAUGCUUCCAAAGAAAACUGGUGUACGCCUUCUCUUACUCCUCCGCCAAGAAUAGUUGGAGUGCACCUAUCAAGUGCUCCCAAACUUUCGGCCUCACUAGGUCUGGGCCGCUGGCUGGUGUGGUCAGCGGCGGCAUCGUGCAUUGGUUGUACACAAAUAAUACAAACUUCUACACCCUCAACAUAUCCGCUGACGCAGCAAACGUCUCCUUAACCGAGAUCUCUAUCCAAGUCAAAAGUGGCUUGUCACCGUUCCCGUGCGUCGUCGGGGAAGGAAAGCUCUCAUUUGUUAAUACAAGCGCCGAGGAUGUCCUAGAACUUUGGACAAAGCGAGAACAAGACAAUGAUCAUAGUGCUGAGGGUAAGGAAGGAUGGGUGCAGUCCGAGUUGAUGCCCCUAGAGGUCAAGGGAAUUGAAAUCUUGUCUUUCGCAGAGAGGUCAUGUGUGAUACUCAUGGUGCAAAAGGGGUGUCCUACCAUAUUCAGUCUUGACCUCGUGAGCAAGAAAAUACAGCCGAUGAUAAGGGAAAACCGUAAUAUGGCCAUGUUUUAUUCAUAUAACGGUGAUGAAAUGUGGAGAUGCAAGAACCAUGUGCUCUAUGAGAUUGAUUGGCCGUCAUACCUAUUUCACCUCUCAGCUCGAAGCCAAGACGUGCAAUAG